UGAGGAAUAUUCCGCAAUGGGCGAAAGCCUGACGGAGCAAUGCCGCGUGAAUGAAGAAGGUCUUCGGAUUGUAAAGUUCUUUAGUCAGGGACGAAGAAAGUGACGGUACCUGAAGAAUAAGCCCCGGCUAACUACGUGCCAGCAGCCGCGGUAAUACGUAGGGGGCAAGCGUUGUCCGGAAUGACUGGGCGUAAAGGGUGUGUAGGCGGUUUUGCAAGUUAGGAGUGAAAUACCCGGGCUUAACCCGGGUGCUGCUUUUAAGACUGUAAGACUUGAGUGCAGGAGAGGCUAUCGGAAUUCCUAGUGUAGCGGUAGAAUGCGUAGAUAUUAGGAAGAACACCGGAGGCGAAGGCGGAUAGCUGGACUGUAACUGACGCUGAGACACGAAAGUGUGGGGAGCAAACA
rnacentral:rRNA from 1 species